ACGCAUGGCAGAUGACACUGAUGAAUGGCAGCGCUCCUCCCUCAGCCUGGGAACACAGAGGGUCCAAGCAGCUGCUUCUGCUCUGCCAGGGUCAGACACUGGCCAACUCUGGUGUGUCUUCCAGACAGCAUGGUUAGCCCCACCCCCCUCAGUCCCUGCCUGAGCUAGGGAGAGAAGAAAAGCCAGGCUUUAGUGCACGCUCAGCCUAGGGUUCCCCCGCCAGGAGCUAGAGUGAGAGGGACGUCCGCCCACCACUCCGUCCUCUCACUUCCUCCAGCAUGUCCAGCACCCAGCCCAGACUGCAUGCCAACUACAGACAGGAGACUCAGGUCCCUCAUCUGUGAAAUGCGCCUAAGGGUACACCCUGCACAAUGUUAUUAUGAGGAUUCAGUAUCCUGAACCUGUCUGUGCCUGGGAACUGCCAAGCUGCUUCUUAGAAUGACAAAUCUUGAGGUCUACUCCACACCACCAACUCAGCUCCAAGGGAAGGACCUGGGACCUGCAUUUUAAACGAGUGCUGCAGAACACUGUUUUGGAAAUCUUGGAUGGCCUGAGCGAUUCCAGCAGGGAAGAUGAGUGCCAGAGAAUUCAUUAUGUAAAUAAAAAU